GUCGAACGAACCCUUCGGGGUUAGUGGCGGACGGGUGAGUAACACGUUAGUACCUGCCCUCUAGUGGGGGAUAACUGCCCGAAAGGGUAGCUAAUACCGCAUGUGAUCACUUGUGAUCAAAGCAGAAAUGCGCUAGAGGAGGGGCUUGCGUCUGAUUAGCUUGUUGGCGGGGUAAUGGCCCACCAAGGCGAUGAUCAGUAGCUGGUUCGAGAGGAUGACCAGCCACACUGGGACUGAGAUACGGCCCAGACUCCUACGGGAGGCAGCAGUGAGGAAUCUUCCGCAAUGGACGAAAGUCUGACGGAGCAACGCCGCGUGCAGGAUGACGGCCUUCGGGUUGUAAACUGCUUUUAUUUGGGAAGAUUAUGACGGUACCAAAUGAAUAAGGACCGGCUAACUACGUGCCAGCAGCCGCGGUAAUACGUAGGGUCCAAGCGUUAUCCGGAAUUACUGGGCGUAAAGAGUGCGUAGGCGGGUGUCUAAGUGCAAUGCGAAAUCCUAUGGCUCAACCAUGUGGACUGUAUUGCAUACUGGAUACCUAGAGGAAUGCAGAGGCAAGUGGAAUUACCGGUGUAGCAGUGAAAUGCGUAGAUAUCGGUAGGAACACCAAUGGCGAAGGCAGCUUGCUGGGCAUUAUCUGACGCUAAGGCACGAAAGCGUGGGGAGCGAACAGGAUUAGAUACCCUGGUAGUCCACGCCGUAAACGAUGCACACUAUUAGUAUGGAGUAUCGACCCUCUGUGCUGAGAAGCUAACGCGUUAAGUGUGCCGCCUGGGGAGUACGAUCGCAAGAUUAAAACUCAAAGGAAUUGACGGGGCUCCGCACAAGCAGUGGAUCAUGCGGUUUAAUUCGAUGAUACGCGAAGACCUUACCAAGGCUUGACAUCCCUAUCGUACCCCUAGGAAACUAGGGGUCAGUUCGGCUGGAUAGGUGACAGAUGCUGCAUGGCCGUCGUCAGCUCGUG
rnacentral:rRNA from 1 species